rnacentral:rRNA from 1 species
GACGAACGCUGGCGGCGUGCUUAACACAUGCAAGUCGAACGGAAAGGCCCUGCUUUUGUGGGGUGCUCGAGUGGCGAACGGGUGCGUAACACGUGAGUAACCUGCCCUUGACUUUGGGAUAACUUCAGGAAACUGGGGCUAAUACCGGAUAGGAGCUCCAGAUGCAUGGUGGGGGUUGGAAAGUUUCGGCGGUUGGGGAUGGACUCGCGGCUUAUCAGCUUGUUGGUGGGGUAGUGGCUUACCAAGGCUUUGACGGGUAGCCGGCCUGAGAGGGUGACCGGCAACAGUGGGACUGAGAUACGGCCCAGAGUCCUACGGGAGGCAGCAGUGGGGAAUAUUGCACAAUGGGCGGAAGCCUGAUGCAGCAACGCCGCGUGCGGGAUGACGGCCUUCGGGUUGUAAACCGCUUUCGCCUGUGACGAAGCGUGAGUGACGGUAAUGGGUAAAUAAGCACCGGCUAACUACGUG